GAUGGACGCUGGCGGCGUGCCUAAUACAUGCAAGUCGAGCGAACAGACGAGGAGCUUGCUCCUCUGACGUUAGCGGCGGACGGGUGAGUAACACGUGGAUAACCUACCUAUAAGACUGGGAUAACUUCGGGAAACCGGAGCUAAUACCGGAUAAUAUAUUGAACCGCAUGGUUCAAUAGUGAAAGACGGUUUUGCUGUCACUUAUAGAUGGAUCCGCGCCGCAUUAGCUAGUUGGUAAGGUAACGGCUUACCAAGGCAACGAUGCGUAGCCGACCUGAGAGGGUGAUCGGCCACACUGGAACUGAGACACGGUCCAGACUCCUACGGGAGGCAGCAGUAGGGAAUCUUCCGAAAUGGGCGAAAGCCUGACGGAGCAACGCCGCGUGGGUGAUGAAGGUCUUCGGAGCGUAAAACUCUGUUAUUAGGGAAGAACAAAUGUGUAAGUAACUAUGCACGUCUUGACGGUACCUAAUCAGAAAGCCACGGCUAACUACGUG
rnacentral:rRNA from 1 species